UACGUAGGGUGCAAGCGUUGUCCGGAAUUUAUUGGGCGUAAAGAGCUCGUAGGCGGUCUGUCACGUCGGAUGUGAAAAUCCAGGGCUUAACCCAUGGACCUGCGAUUCGAUAUGGGCAGACUAGAGGUAGGCAGGGGAGAACGGAAGUUCCAGGUUGAGCGGUGAAAUGCGUAGAUAUCUGGAGGAAUACCGGUGGCGAAGGCGGCAUCCUGGACCGGCAUUGACGCUGAGGAGCGAAAGCUAGGGGAGCAACGGG
rnacentral:rRNA from 1 species